AACAAAUACCUCAACAAGCACAUGACAUGUAAGCAUUGCUAUUGCUAAGAGCAACCAUCGAAGGUUAAACAUAUGGUUUUCACCCCGAAGCUGUAGAUGUAUAGGUUAUAUUGAAUUUUAGAUAACCCCACAUUUGAAUGUAUUUUUGAACAAGAAACCAACUGAAGAAUGACAUCUAGCAAAUCUGAUUACCAUUUAUUAUUUUCUAUUACAACGAUCAAUCUUGCUACACGAGUAACAAGAUUACUACACCCACAUCCAAAUCUCUUCUACAAUUAUCAUGUAGAUAUCAUCAGAUCAUUGCUCAUCACCAAUUCAGUUUAGCUGGGACUUGGGUCUGGCAAUUAUAGUCGCACUUGCAUCCGCUGUGGAUUCUUCCUGUCGGGACACACCGUGCUUUUGCUCCGACAUACUUUCUAUAGCAAUCACGCAUACAUGUGAGAGUUUUGCAGUUGCGGUGAUAGAUCACCUUCGAGCAGUCCAACGGAGGAAGUACCGCCAAGGCUGCGUAAGUAUAUAAACAGGAGGAUAUGCAUGCCAUGGUCAAUAACAUUAUGAUUAAUUGCCCGUUACAAAAUGAUAUUAGAUCAAUCAAAGUAAGUACCUGAGGACGACACCAAAAGGAUAGUGGCUAGAAGAAGCAACAAUUUAUUGGUUGUCGCCAUGGAUCGUCUCUCGCAGUUAAGGUCGGUUCGCGUUUGAUCGCUUAUUUUCUUUCUUUGUGCUGGUACCUUGUCUUUUG
rnacentral:lncRNA from 1 species